GAGUUUGAUUCUGGCUCAGGACGAACGCUGGCGGCGUGCUUAACACACGCAAGUCGAACGGGGCUAGAAAGCUUGCUUUUGAAGCCUAGUGGCAAACGGGUGAGUAACACGUAGGCAACCUGCCCUCUGGAUGGGGACAACGACCCGAAAGGGUCGCUAAUACCGAAUGACCUGUAGCUCCCGCAUGGGAGGUAUAGCAAAGAUGGUGCAAGCCAUCGCCGGAGGAUGGGCCUGCGUCUGAUUAGCCAGUUGGGGAGGUAACGGCUCACCAAAGCAACGAUCAGUAGCCGGUCUGAGAGGAUGAACGGCCACAAUGGGACUGAGACACGGCCCAUACUCCUACGGGAGGCAGCAGUGGGGAAUCUUCCGCAAUGGGCGAAAGCCUGACGGAGCAACGCCGCGUGAGUGAAGAAGGUCUUCGGAUCGUAAAACUCUGUUGUCAGGGGAGAAAAGGAGCAGCAGGCAAUGGCUGCUUAAGACGUACCUGACGAGGAGCCACG
rnacentral:rRNA from 1 species